UCGCGGGAGCAGCGCACACACCUCCUCCCGACUGCCCGCAGCGGCCGCCGGUUUGUAAUUUAAUCAGGAGCCACUCGCCGUGUGCUGGGCGGUGAUGUCACCUGAUUAGCAUAACAGCAUUGUGGAGGAAACGCAGGCUGUACCACGAGGAGGGGCGCGGGGGAGGCCGGCCGGCCCGCGACCCCACAGGACCGCAGGGCCCGCACGGCCAGGGUCGCCCCGCAACCGCCGACCCGCGCCGCGGUGGGACCUUCCCAAACAAAGCUGCUGGAAUUACAAUCUUUUGUUGGGCGCCUCACGUAACGGAAAAAUCUCCGAUUACUAUCACUUGAAAAGGAGCGCACGACCGCCGGAGGCCGAGACGCUGGCGAGAGCCCCGCAGGCCCCCGGCCCGCGCCGCUCGGCCGCUGGGAGCGUCAGCGGAGAUAACGCCGGGCCGCGCACCUGGGCGCUCGGCAGCCAACUGCGCGGGCACCAACCACGCGGCAGCGGCGCGCCGGGAAAGUUCAACAAAGUCAGGCUGCGCGCCACGCAGGGCGCCGCCGGGGGAGGCGUGAGCCCAGGCCCACGGGGCAAUCUUCCCGGCAGACUGCUGCCUUCCAGGGAGGUUAAGCCGGGGGCUUCCCGCGGUAACGCGGGCCCUGUAAUUCCAGCCAGGAGGAUUUAUGGGAGCCCCGAGCUGCAGAGCAUUAUGGGAGAAAGGUGCACAGGUGAAAAAAAACAAGAGCAAGCACCUGGAGAAGAAAGGAGAAAGGAAUAGAAUGGGAGAAUGCAAACCUCAUUAUCAAGAUAAAUCCCAUGCCUUCUGUCUAGAGAACCAACUCAACUCAUCCAGAAAGACCCAGAGGCUGUGCUUUCUUCUCUGCAGGCACCUUCAACCUAGUUGAGACAUGGUUAUGCAUAUGCAAGUAAAAGAUAUAAGGAUGUAAUCAAUAACAGCCGGAGAAUUUCCUGCCGGAUCAAAAUGCAAAUGAUUUUACUGGAAGGAGGAUAGGUCUUCAAAUACAAAGCCGAAGUGGGGAGAAAGUGAUAACCUCGAGCAAUAGCCGUCAGGAGGUCAUUUCCCAUGCUCAGGAUGAUGAGAUGACAGAGGUGAAGCACCAGAUCCUGUACCUGGCACAACACAAAUGGCUUGAUAGAUGUCAGCCCCCAACCCCUCUUCCUACCUACCCCUCUGCUCCAGCCAAACUGAUCAUCAUCCCACCGCCUGUGCAGGGCUUCUCAUACCUUGGCUCUUGAAGCUCCCUCUCCUCCAGCUACAUUCAUCUAUCCUUCAAGUCCAGCUCAAAAACCUUCCCUCCUCCAGGAAGGAUUCCUAGAUUACCCCAGCUAGGAUGAUCAUUUCUUCAUAGAAACUUUACACCAGUACUGCCAGGCUCCCUCGUCUGGCACCUAUCACACACAGUCUUGGAGUAGUGCUUAUCUUUUCUUGUGCACCAGUCUUACCUACUUAAUUAAAAUAAUAGACUGUGUACCAGUUUCAGACUCAAGAGAGGUAAAAUGUAGACUCCAUUCUCAGCUUUGACACCGACUAGUUUGCACCUAUGAGGUGGUCAUUUAGCUUCCCUAAAAACCUAAAGGACUUAAAAGAGAAACUCUCUCUGCUUCUCUGGAUAUAAUGGACUUGGAAAUAUUUAAGUUGUUUUAGGGCAGAUACAAGUCUUCUACAAUCUUCCUCCCACUUUCCUAGCCUAGUACCUAAGAAGCAUGGUAGCCAUUUCAGAAGCCUAAACACCUAGGAAACAAAGGCCCUGUGGGGGAGCUGGCCUCCCAUGGUAAACUGCAGAACCUCUUCCACCUUACAUAACACCCUCAGGCCAUAGUUUAAUCUUUCAGGUUUAGAAGUUGACAGCCAGAACUCUGUAACAGGUGUCAGAAAUUCCUUUUUCAAAAUUUACGUAUUUAAGCCUUCUAUUUCAACAAUGAGGCACAGAGAUGUGCACCCAGAUAUACAAAGUUAAGUUCCUGGCUGGAGAUUAGAAAGUAGUCUUUCUGAAUUCCUGUGCCUCUUUAAUUUCCAGGACCAACCUGAAGGUACAGGUAGCUGAGGAUAAAGGAAGUGACAUGCAUUCCUCAUGCCCCUCUGUCAGUGCAGUGGGGCCAGGGCUUAAAAUCAGAGAAAGCUCAUUCUAAUGUCCUAUCCCAUCUACCUUCAAGCAUCCAACACCACCAUGGAGCCAAAAAACUUGUACCAGGUGAUAGGUGACUGACACCCUUCUAUGUUCUGCGAUGCCCCACUUGCACCAGCUCAGAGAAAAUGGGAGUCAAGACUGUGGGACCAUCUUAUCUCCUAGGCUAGCAUAGAACUAAGAACAUAGGCAGCCCCAACAGACUUUGUUAUUCUAAAACUCUUUCUCUUAGUUUUCUGCAUUGACCACUCCUUUAUUAUUAUUAUGCUAUCUUGAGGGUAUGGUCUACUCAAAAGACAUUUUUAAAACAAUAUUUGACAAAUGGAUUGAUUCAUUACAACAAGAUUUGGGGGGGGAGGGGCAGGGAGGGAGGUACUGGGUAUUGAACUCGGUAUUGACCACUGAGCCACAUCCCCAUCCCUAUUUUGUAUUUUUAUUAGAGACAGGGUCUUAACUGAGUUGCUAAGUGCCUCACUUUUGCUAAGGCUGACUUUGAAAUGGAGAUCUUCCUGCCUCAGCCUCCUGAGCUGCUGGGAUUACAGGCAUGUACCACUGUACCCAGCUACAACUAGAAUUUUAAUGACAGGUGAGGCAUGAAGUGAGAGAAGAAAGGACUAAGCUGUUUUCUAAUGCCUGCCACCUGUGACCACCCAUAACCACUUCUACACUUACUUUCAUUACCUUUCAAUCAACCGUUUAAUUACCAUCUAUUCACAAAAACACAGUUUGAGAUCACAAUGGUGCCUUUUUUUCUACUAUCCCUUAUUUUAAUAAUAUUAUAAAGCCUCAGUAAAGGAUGUGGAAAAACUGGAACCCUUAUACACCAUUAAUGGAAACAUGGUGCAGACGAUACAAAAACAAUAUGAAGAUUCUUCAAAACAUUUAAAUUGAAUAAUCAUAUGCUCCAGCAAUCCAACUUUGGGUAAUAAAACAAGAUGUCAAAGAGCUAUCUGUAUACCCUUGUUCAUCAUACCAGCACUCACAAUAUCCAAGACAUGGAAGCAACUCCAAUACUAAUCAGUGAAUAAACGGGUAGACCUGCCUGAAUAUUAUUCAAUCUUAAAAAAGAAGAAAAUCCUGCCACAUGCUACAACAUGGAUGAACCUGGAGGGCAUUCUGCUAAAUGAAAUAAGCCAAUCACAAAAAGGCAAAUAUAACAUGACUCCACUUACACAAAGUACCUAGUUAGUCAAACUCAUGGAAACAGAAAGUAGAAUGGCUGUUGCCAAGAGCUGAGGGGAGGGGAAACAGUGAGUUAUUGUUCGACAGGUGUAGAGUUUCAGUUUUGCAAGAUGAAAAAGUUCUAGGGAUCUAUUUCACAACAACGUACAUACAGUCAAUACUGCUGAACUGCACACUUAAGAAUGAUUAAGAUGGUAAUGUUUGUUGCAUUUUUUAAACCACAAUUUAAAAUAAAUCUAAGGGGCUGAGGACGUAAGUCAGUGGGUAGAGCCCUUGCCUAGCAUGCUCAAGUCCCCAGCACCACAAAAAAUUAAAAAUAAAUUUAAAAAACAAAAAAUUGAAGAAGGAAAAAAAAAAAAAAAAAGCACCAGUAAAGACCAAGGAGAAGAGCACUCCUGUGCAGGGGUAAAAAACAGCAGAUCUAGAGCCACACGUUCUGCAUCCAAGACUCUGGAGCUUGAACAAAAUGUUCUCAAAUGCUAUCAACCAACGCACCUAUCCCUGAGUCCUCCCUUCCACCCGCCAGAAAAAAGAAAUGUUAUAGGGAAUCGUGCCAACUCUCAUUUUUAUAACAAAAGUCCUCACAACUUAGUUACUAGCUCUAAAUUGCCUCCACACCUUACACUUGUGUGCAGUGCUACAGAGGAACCUCCAUCCAUCACCGCUGCCACUCAUGCCAGGCCUGGAGAUCUUUACAAGGCUGACCUUCAUGCAACUGCUCAAAAACUGCUUUAAUUUUUAGUUAGUAUCUUUUGAGAUCGAGUCUCCAAAACAUAGAGGAAAACAGUAUUUCAAACAUGGUAGUAACACAUCAUAUAGAAGCAAGCAUGUGCACAUUUACACAAUGUAGGACUGUGAGCACAAUGUAGGGGUGAGAUUGCAUGUGUGCAUCUAGGAUCACCUUGGGAGAUGUUAGAUGAGUUUCCCUAGUUCUGAAGGUCUCUGAGGACCUGUCAUCAGCCACCCUGGAAUACUGAGACUUGCCCACCCAGCUAUAGAACACUGAUGUCCUGUCAAUGUAGCCACAUACAGCCUGCUGUUAAGGAUAAUUUUAGGGUAUUAAGAGCUCAUGAAACAACGGACUAAGGUUCUCACUGAUCAAAAAACUGUCCUUGUUGUUGGCCUAUUAAGGAUUAUAGAAGAGCAAAUGGUAAAAAUCAUUACACAGGAAAGAAGUCUGUAAUUUGAAGUGAUUAUAAUCAAAGUUACCCUGGUUCUUGUUAAUAACACUGUAUAAGAGCUCGCAUUUCUGACUCAUCAAACAUGAAACAUUAACAAAAAAUUAACAUGAGACUUGGCCUUGAGUCAGAGUCACAGGGUAUUUAUUAUUUACCUCAAGAAGGACAAAGGUUGCUAUCAUCCCUAUACUAACAUACAGUCUGUGUCUCACCAUGUACACAGAAACCACAGUGAAAAGAGGCCAGAACUAACUUUGGUUACAAAAGAAUGUCAGUCCACCACCUCCCUAGGAUAUAUUUUAAAUCGCCUUAUUUGGUGGAGUGCGGGGAGCAGGGAGGAAUGCUGAGGACGAACCCAGGACCUUGAACAUGCUAAGCCAGUGCUCUACCUCGGCUACACUCCCAGCCCACGAUAUUUUACAAGAUAAUUCAUACUGUCAUAUCUUUUUAGUAUACUAGUAUACAAAUAAAUGUUUGAUCUUUUUUUAAAAUAAGUAUUUAGGCUCCCCUUUCUAAAGUGGUCACGCUUCUCUUAUGUUUGAUAGUCAGAAACAAAAAGGAAAUACUCUGUAAAACAUCUGAUUGUCAAAUCUCAGCCUCCUGUUAAAUACAGGUGAGGUUCAGGCCUCUUGGGAAAGGUUUUAAUAAGCUCAAUCAUCACUGGUGUCACAAAUGAGAUACUCAAGUUAUCUCAGUCUUGCUCAUAAUUCUCUAAUAUGGAGUAAUUGUAGGGAUAGGUACAAUAUUUUUCCCAUGAAUUAAAGGGCAUUUGGAGACCAACAAAUACUUAGGUAAAGAAACGCAAUUUCCAAGAGGGCUGGAAAUGACAGUCAAAGACAAGCAUCAGAAGCUUUCAAUUAGUGCCUGGGAACCCAGACAUCUCUGAUUUAUGUUACAGAGGCUGGGCAAAGAACGACCCAAUGCAGAAAAACUCAGAUUGAAAUCUGUGAAAUGGGUGAUAAUUCCCCCUACCGGCUGCUAUUAAUAUCACAGUAAUAUUCUAGAAUGUUCUCCAAGAUGAAAGUGACACACAAAUUUUAAGUAUUACAAAUAAUCCUCUUGGAAAUCUAGUAAUAUUUCUUCUUUAUUAUUCCCCCAUACCAAACUACAGCUGUCUCAACAAAGAGGAACAGAGCACUAAAGCUAAAUAACCCCCUCUAAGGACCAGCCCUCUUCCGGUAGCCUGUCUGACUUGGAUUUUUCUACACUAUGUCCUUCUGCCUCCAACCUCAAGUCAUUUGACUGGGGGUUGGAGGAAGAGUGGGGAAAAUCAAUUUAUCAACAGUUUUUAAAUAUUUUUAUUGCAUUUCUCCCUAAGUCAUUCUUUCAAUAAAUUUGGGAUUAUGCAGGAUCAUUUUAAUGUGCACUGAGUGCAGAUCUAAACCAAGCAAAAGUGCAGGAAGAGAAUGCACAAAUGUGAAGAUCAUAUUAAUUUUUUAAAUUCAAAAACAAAGUCUUUUUCAGUGCUUUUUCUGCCUCCCAGGAGAAGGAUUGAGCCACAAAAGCCCUCUAGUCACUAUAACAAACAAAGCAAGCCACAAGUUACUGGUAUCUUUAGGCCAUCAAGCAUGUGCCCUUUAAAUGUCCUUGGUCUUCCACCUUAACUUUUAACCUCCUGCUUCACAUUAAUGUGAUAUAUCUCAAUAGGAAAGGCCUCCUUGAAGGGGGAGAGAGGAACCUUCUCUUCAAAAGAUUGAUUUUUCAUAAUGAAAUGUUGUAAAUCAACACCUCACAAGCAUGCUACUGUGUGCAGACACUGAGCUAGAUAACUUCCACAUUACUGUAUGUUCUCACAUUCCUGUAAAAUAAAUAUUGUUUUGUUUUC